rnacentral:tRNA from 1 species
AUUCCACGCAGGGAAUCGAACCCGGGCCUUCUAGAUCAAAGCCAGAUAUCCUAGCCACUAGACCACGUAGGA